CUUCGAGUAAAUUCUAAAAUAAUGGGGGCUUAAAGUGCUCUCAAAAAAUAUUUGUACUAUUUUGUACCUAUGAUUUUUGUGUAAGAUUUGAUUUUAAAGAUCGUGGUCUCCCCUGCCAAGAGGACCUGCGCACGCUUAUGAUCACAGAUAAAUAUUUAAGAACAUGUACGAGUAUUUUGACUUUUUCUCUCUCAGAUCCAUAAAUCCAGAAAUUAUCCAAAUCAU